rnacentral:rRNA from 1 species
CGCCAGACUCCUACGGGAGGCAGCAGUGGGGAAUCUUCCGCAAUGGGCGCAAGCCUGACGGAGCAAUGCCGCGUGAACGAAGAAGGUCUUCGGAUUGUAAAGUUCUGUCCUUAUCGAAGAGAGGGUAUAGAGUGAAAAAUGAUAUACUAGGACGGUAGAUGAGGAGGAAGCACCGGCUAACUCCGUGCCAGCAGCCGCGGUAAUACGGAGGGUGCAAGCGUUACUCGGAAUCACUGGGCGUAAAGAGCGCGUAGGCGGGAUAGCAAGUCAGAUGUGAAAUCCUAUGGCUUAACCAUAGAACUGCAUUUGAAACUGUUAUUCUAGAGUAUGGGAGAGGUAGGUGGAAUUCUUGGUGUAGGGGUAAAAUCCGUAGAGAUCAAGAGGAAUACUCAUUGCGAAGGCGACCUGCUAGAACAUAACUGACGCUGAUGCGCGAAAGCGUGGGGAGCAAACAGGAUUAGAUACCCCCGUAAU